CAGGUGCUGCGUCAGCAAAUAAAGACUCUUGAAGAGGCACUGGAGGAGGAGGAGAUGUGCCAGCAGCAGAGGAAGAAGGAGGCAGAGGUGCCGGGGACUACACUGCCGGAGCUGGUGGAAGCACAGCUGGACGCUCAUCCUGCUCUUGGUCAGCCUGCAGCUGGCUGUCGG